GAUGAACGCUGGCGGCGUGCCUAAUACAUGCAAGUCGAGCGAACGGACGGGAAGCUUGCGUCUCUGAUGUUAGCGGCGGACGGGUGAGUAACACGUGGAUCACCUACCUCUAAGACGGGGAUAACUUCGGGAAACCGGAGAUAAUACCGGAUGAUAUUUUGAACGGCAUGGUUCAAAAGUGAAAGACGGUCUUGCUGUCACUUAUAGAUGGAUCCGCGCUGCAUUAGCUAGUUGGUAAGGUAACGGCUUACCAAGGCAACGAUGCAUAGCCGACCUGAGAGGGUGAUCGGCCACACUGGAACUGAGACACGGUCCAGACUCCUACGGGAGGCAGCAGUAGGGAAUCUUCCGCAAUGGGCGAAAGCCUGACGGAGCCACGCCGCGUGAGUGAUGAAGGUCUUCGGAUCGUAAAACUCUGUUAUUAGGGAAGAACAUAUGUGUAAUUAACUGUGCACAUCUUGACGGUACCUAAUCAGAAAGCCACGGCUAACUACGUG
rnacentral:rRNA from 1 species